GAUGAACGCUAGCGGCAGGCUUAACACAUGCAAGUCGAGGGGUAUAGUAGCAAUACUAGAGACCGGCGCACGGGUGCGUAACGCGUAUGCAAUCUACCUUUUGCAGAGGGAUAGCCCCAGAGAAAUUUGGAUUAAUACCUCAUAGUAUAGUACUUUGGCAUCAAGGAACUAUUAAAGUCACAACGGCAAAAGAUGAGCAUGCGUCCCAUUAGCUAGUUGGUAAGGUAACGGCUUACCAAGGCUACGAUGGGUAGGGGUCCUGAGAGGGAGAUCCCCCACACUGGUACUGAGACACGGACCAGACUCCUACGGGAGGCAGCAGUGAGGAAUAUUGGACAAUGGGCGCAAGCCUGAUCCAGCCAUGCCGCGUGCAGGAUGACGGUCCUAUGGAUUGUAAACUGCUUUGUACAGGAAGAACACUACUUCGUGAAGUAGCUUGACGGUACUGUAAGAAUAAGGAUCGGCUAACUCCGUGCCAGCAGCCG
rnacentral:rRNA from 1 species